UGGGGAAUAUUGCACAAUGGGCGCAAGCCUGAUGCAGCCAUGCCGCGUGUAUGAAGAAGGCCUUCGGGUUGUAAAGUACUUUCAGUCGGGAGGAAGGUGGUAAGGUUAAUAACCUUAUCAAUUGACGUUACCGACAGAAGAAGCACCGGCUAACUCCGUGCCAGCAGCCGCGGUAAUACGGAGGGUGCAAGCGUUAAUCGGAAUUACUGGGCGUAAAGCGCACGCAGGCGGUUUGUUAAGUCAGAUGUGAAAUCCCCGGGCUCAACCUGGGAACUGCAUCUGAUACUGGCAAGCUUGAGUCUCGUAGAGGGGGGUAGAAUUCCAUGUGUAGCGGUGAAAUGCGUAGAGAUGUGGAGGAAUACCGGUGGCGAAGGCGGCCCCCUGGACGAAGACUGACGCUCAGGUGCGAAAGCGUGGGGAGCAAACAGG
rnacentral:rRNA from 1 species